UGGGUUGCAGCUCAGUGGUAGAGCACUUACCUAGCAUGUGGAUAGCACUGGGUUCAAUUCUCAGCACCACAU
rfam:Ictidomys tridecemlineatus contig113281, whole genome shotgun sequence.